rnacentral:rRNA from 1 species
AUUGAACGCUGGCGGAAUGCUUUACACAUGCAAGUCGAACGGUAGAGGGGGCAACCCCUCGAGAGUGGCGAACGGGUGAGUAAUAUAUCGGAACGUGCCCAGUCGUGGGGGAUAACGUAGCGAAAGUUACGCUAAUACCGCAUACGAUCUAAGGAUGAAAGCGGGGGAUCGCAAGACCUCGCGCGAUUGUAGCGGCCGAUAUCAGAUUAGGUAGUUGGUGGGGUAGAGGCUCACCAAGCCAACGAUCUGUAGCUGGUCUGAGAGGACGACCAGCCACACUGGAACUGAGACACGGUCCAGACUCCUACGGGAGGCAGCAGUGGGGAAUUUUGGACAAUGGACGCAAGUCUGAUCCAGCCAUUCCGCGUGCAGGAUGAAGGCCCUCGGGUUGUAAACUGCUUUUGCACGGAACGAAAAGGUCUCUCUUAAUACGGGGGGCUCAUGACGGUACCGUAAGAAUAAGCACCGGCUAACUACGUGCCAGCCGCCGCAGUAA